AGUUUAUUACUUCCAUUAUAUUUUUUAAGACAAAAUGUGCAAACAUUUACAGAAAUAAUUCCUAGAACUAGAAAAUACAUUUAAGAUACAAACUUGUGUUAAUUAGUAAAAUAGAUACUUUUUAAACAAUUAUAUACACAUCUUUAUUAUACAGUAUUUUCCAAAUUCACUAAUUUCACUGCAAAGUGUAAAAGGACAUCAUUCCAUUGAAAAUCAUGGCUUAUUUAGCAAUUAGCAAAUAUGCAAAUAAGAAGGUUUUGUGCAACGGUGCAUUUAACAACAUAAUGUAAAACUAAAUUAGUUUCAAAAUCAAGGAGACAGUAAGUGAAAAUGCAAGUGUUACAAUAAUCUGAUUAGCCUAAUGUACUUGCUAAUAUAUUAUUACAUGUAAAUGAAACACAAACUGUACAUCAAAGUGAAAAUGUAUCCACUUCUUAGAAGACAUUUUUUUAACUGUAUAUGAUGCUAUCCUUACAGUCAGAAGUUACCAACAUUAAUUAUUUUAAUUACUUAAAUACAUAUUAAUUUCCUCCUAACACCAUUCUUUUGUGAUGAGCACUGUUAUGUCUUAGAGUUGUAGAGCUGUAAUAGCAUGUUUUCUAAAUUUAUAAUAUCAUACUGGAAGACCUAAUUUGGCUCUGCAGUUAUAAAAUAAUUUACAGGCAAUGGUGCAAGUGAAAACAAAUCGCUGCAUAUUUGUUUCAUAGAAACAUAGAAACAUACAAUGUGACGGCAGAUAAGAACCAUUCGGCCCUUCUAGUCUGCCCAGUUUUCUAAUUACUCUCCUUAGUCCCUGGCCUUAUUUUAUAGUUAGGAUAGCCUUAUGCCUAUCCCACACAUGUUUAAACUCCUUAACUGUGUUAACCUCUACCACUUCAGCUGAAAGGCUAUUACAUGCAUCCCUUACCCUCUCAGUAAAUUAAUACUUCCUGAUAAUACUUCCUCUAAUUUAAGACUAUGUCCUCUUGUUGGGGUAGUUUUUCUUUUUAAAAAUAGUUUCCUCUUUUACUGUGUUGAUUCACUUUAUAUACUUCAUAUCCCACCUGUCUCGUCUUUCCUCCAAACUCUACAUGUUAAGAUUCUUUAACCUUUCCUUGUAAGUUUUAUCCUGUAAUCCAAGAACAAGUUUAGUAGCCAGUUUUGAACUCUCUCUAAAGUAUCAAUAUCUUUCAGGAGAUAUAGUCUCCAGUACUGCGUACAAUACUCCAAGUGUAAUCUUACCAGUGUUCUGUACAAUGGCAUGAGCACUUCCCUCUUUCUACUGCUAAUACCUCUCCCUAUACAACCAAGCAUUCAGCUAGCAUUCCCUGCUGCUCUAUUACAUUGACUGCCUACCUUUAAGUCUUAUGAAAUAAUUACCCAUAAAUCCCUUUCCUCAGAUGUUGAGGUUAAGACUGUAUCAAAUAUUCUAUACUUUGCCCUUGGGUUUUUACGUCCAAGAUGCAUUAUCUUGCACUUAUCCACAUUAAAUGUCAGCUGCCACAACUCUGACCAUUUUUCUAGUAUUACUAAAUCAUUUGCCAUUUGGCUUAUCCCUCCCGGAACAUUAACCCUGUUACAUAUUUUGUAUCAUCAGCAAAAAGACAUACCUUGCCAUCAAGAACUUCUGCAAUAUCACUAAUAAAAAUAUUAAAGAGUAUGGGCCCUAGUACAGAUCCCUGAGGUACCCCACUGGUGACAAGACCAUGCUUCAAAUAUACUCCAUUAACUGCAACCUUCUGUUGUCUGUCACUCAGCCACUGCCUAACCCAUUCAACAAUAUUGGAAUCCAAAUUUAAAGAUUACAGUUUAUUGAUAAGCCUUCUAUGUGCAACAGUGUUAAAAGUCUUAAUGAAAUCUAGGUAAGCAAUGACUACUGCACUACCCUGAUCUAUUAUUUUAGUUACCCAAUCAAAAAAAUCAAUAAUAUUAGUUUGGCAUGACCUCCCUGAAGUAAACCCAUGUUUUAUCUGAUCUUGAAAUCCAAGUGAUUUAGAUGUUCAACAAUCCUAACUUUUUCAUGGUUUCCAUUACUUUCCCCACUACUGAAGUAAGGCUUACUGGCCUAUAGUUGCCGGACUCCUCCCUACUAUCUUUCUUGUAAUGGGCACAACAUUCGCUAAUUUCCAAUCUUCUGGGACUACUCCCAUUAACAAUAGUUGGUAAAAUAAAUCCAUUAAUGGUUUUGCUAGUACACCACUAAGCUUGUUUAAUACCUUUGGGUUUAUUCGAUCAGGCCCCAUCGACUUAUUUGUACUUCUGACAGUUGAAAUAGAACCUCAUCCUCUGUAAACUCUCAAGUCACUCAAGCUAAUAAUGACAGGAAUAUAAAAAAUAAUAAUAAUAAUAAUAAAGCAUCCUACUUUUAUACAAAAUAUAUGCAGAUGUACAGUGACCAGCCACUUUGUAUGGCUAUAAGACUCCUGUUUACCAAGUCAUACUUUAUGAUAAAUAAUAAUGGAACUUUGCUGGGAGUGAACCAUGAAAGUGCAAUGUGUACAUGAAUGUAAAAAUUACUUGUAACUCUUUUGGGCAUGUAAUGAAUCCAGGAAUUCAUACGGUUGUCUAUUUACAAGUGGAAUUUAAAAUGAUUACAAAUAAAUAUAAAACCAAACAAGGGGCGCAUGAAAUUAGAGAGCAUGGCACUAGUUUCCGUAAGUCACAAUCUGCCUUACUAAUCUUUAUAUUACUACAAUAAUAUUAUCCCUAGAUUUAUCAACUUUUAUCUUAAUUAACUAGACUUUAUAAAAGUAUAUUAUUAUUAUUUUUAAGACUAUUCAGUGUUGGAGCCUAGCCCCUUAUGACAACUCAUAAUACCUGCUAAUACUUCGCCAUGUAAAGGUCUUGUAAUGCCUGUAAAAAAUAACCAGGUAAACAUCUUGCUGUGUUCCUGCUUGAAUUCCACACUCCACACUCCACACAGGCAUCAAUCAACUUGCAAUGCCAAAUUACAAAAUACUGCAAUUAAGCAUUUGUAACGCUUUCGUGAUGCCACAGAGUUCAUCAUCUAUCCUGUUAAAAAGGUGUGCAAAGUAUUUUUCCUGGUGUUUAACAUGAUAGAAAAACAGCUAUAUUGUGAUAUAUAAACUUGCAUUAAUUCUGUAUUGCUGUUCUAAGCAAUGGCAUAUUCCUUUGACCGAAGGGAGAAGCUCUGGCUUCAAUGAUUGACCCUCAAAGAUACCAAAAUAGGGUGAAUGAGGUAAUUUUCAUUUUGUUCUACUUUUUAUACUGUGAAGAGUUUGUUAAAUGGACACACUACCAAUAGAGCUCUUUUUUUUGUAUGCUAAAAUCUUUUCAGACAUGUUUUGCACUGUGUGCUGCACCAUAAGUCUGCAUCUUUAGCCACUCCCCCUCACUCCAGAAAAAGGCUUCCUUAUCAGAUAUAUGCAAACAGCUCAGCCAAUGACAGUACUGCAUUAGAAGGGCAGGGCACCCAAGGGUACAUAAAAUAAGGAUAUCACUACCUGUUUAUAGUUAUUCUGACUGACUGCAGCCCGGUUGAGAAAGGCAAUUUGCUCAGUGCUGUUGGUGCUGAGAUUGUGUACAGACAUUUGACAAGGAAGUAUUCCUAGCAUGAGGAGGCGUGGCUUUUUGUGCAAAAGCUAUAAAGAUUUCAGCUUGCAAAAACAUACAGCAUGUCAAUGAGGCCAAGAGCUAUCAAAAGUUGCAAGUAUCAAUUUAGGGAGUUAUGUUCCAAACUAUUAAAAGAUCAAAAAUAUAUUUUUUUUUAAAAUGCCAUUUUCUUAAAGGGACACUAUAGGUAUCAAAUUAACUUUAGCUUGAUGAAGCAGUUUUAGUUUAUAGAUCAUGCCCCUGCAGUCUCACACAAUUAUUUUGCUAUUUAAUGAGUUAAAACACUUUUGUUCCUCUCCAUGCAGUCCUAGCCACACCUCUCCUGGCUAUCAAUCACAUUUUAACUUACUUUUAGAGGUUUUUAUCUCAUGCUCUGUAACUUGAACUUUAACCUCUUAAGGAUGGAGGCAAUUGUACAGUUUCUGAUCAAAACGAAACCUGGAAUUUGACAAUAUGUCUGUUCAACUAUAGUUUGCCUGUUCGUAUUAAGUGCACCCAUAUUUAUUAUAUAUAAUUUUGUUCAGGAGGAACUGGGCUUUUAUUUCACAGUGAAUGUUUAUAUAUGAAGCCUAAUUCUUUAUGAAUAAAAUCUAAAACUUAUGAGAAAUUAAGAAAUGUUAUUUUCUAAAGUAUGCAUGGCAUUUUAACUGUGAAUAUCAUAAUACUGUUAGCUUUUUCUGAAAUAAAAUACACAUAUUUAUGUACAGUGAUGCAUCAUGAGUACAAUAGUAUGCCCCAUGUACAUGUUUUAUGGUGUUUUGGAAACUUACAGGGUCAAAUAUAGGGCUUUCCCCUUUCAGUUUUUACACAUUGACAUUUGCCAGGUUGGUUAUGUUGCCUUUCAGUCCGUAUGGCAGCCCAGGGAUAAAAAUUACCCCCAUCAUGGCAUACCGUUUGCAAAACUAGACAACCCAGGGUAUUCAAAAUGGGUUAUGUAAAGUCUUUUUAUUAGCCACUUGGUCACAAACCCAGGCCAAAGUU